GUGUCAGCAGCCGCGGUAAUACAGAGGGUGCAAGCGUUAAUCAGAAUGACUGGGCGUAAAGGGCGUGUAGGUGGUUGACUAGGUUUGAUGUGAAAUCCCCGGGCUUAACCUGGGAAUUGCGUCGAAAACGGGUCGACUGGAGUGAGAUAGAGGGUUGUGGAAUUUCCGGUGUAGCGGUGAAAUGCGUAGAUAUCGGAAAGAACAUCAGUGGCGAAGGCGACAACCUGGAUCUUAACUGACACUGAGGCGCGAAGGCGUGGGGAUCAAACAGGAUUAGAUACCCUUGUAGUCC
rnacentral:rRNA from 1 species